rnacentral:tRNA from 1 species
UCCGUCGAUUUUAAAA